GUAGGUCUUGCCGAAGUGGCCUUCGUCGUCCAAGGCGUCCUCCUGGUAUACGUGGAACUGUUAUUGGGCGUAAUGAUCUGCGGCUACGUCGUCCGGGUCGUCCUCGUGGGAUUCGUGGGGCGGUUAUUGGACGUAAUGAUCUGCGAGGCCAUGGAGCUUCCAUGUCGGAAGCUGUCAGUGGUGGUUGUAUGUACGAUGUUUUUUUACUGCAUGGGGGCGUCCUAAUAUUCAUCGUUCCAUUGGCUUCACAUCUAGGUUUGUUCAGUAUAUUUGAUCUGUCUUUUGCGUUGUUGCAUGUUCAUUGUGUAACUAAGUAUUUGUAUGGUUGUUUCGUAUAGAGGUUCAAGGUCAGAGUUCCUCUGCUGUUGAUUUACGUCGUCGACGUCAAGAGACCCGUCUAGGAAAGCGGCAUGUCGAUUCUGCUGUUGGUAAGUACAUCUAUUCUAAGAUUGAGUUGUUUCAGUCCUUCGGUUUAUUUCUUUAUUACCUAUUUGUUUUUCAUCUUAUUGUAGUUGAUUCUUCAUGUGGCUAUGGUUUUCCUCGCGAUGAUGCGACCCCCGUUGCUUCCUUACCAAGUUCUUCGUCUCUACAUUCUGGUAUUGCUUCCUUGUAAAUUAGUUUUACAAAUAAUUGUUAUGAAUAAAAUAUGUUAAAUGGCUCGCCAUGUUUCAAGGUUGGCAUAAGUUCAUUUGACAAGAUAGUACAAGUUAAAUAAAUGUUCUUCUACAUAAGAAGGCAACACGUGUUCGUGUUGCAUGCCGGGGUUGCCGACGAGGCUAAGUGCAUGUGCCAUGCAUUAAUGCGUCCUGCCUCAUUAACAAGUACUCCCUCCAUUCCUAAAUCUAUCUCUUUUUAGAGAUUUCACUAAGGCUUUGUUUGGUAGAAGUGGAUUAGGGAGGUUUGGGGAGGAGGGGAUUUGAGGGGAUUUGGUGAAUCCCUUCCUUCCACCCAAUCCCCUCAAAACCUCUUGAAACCCCCAAAUCCCUCCAACCACAAAUCCCCUUCAUAUGAAAAAGUUGUUUGGUUGGCAGGGAUUGACACAUUCAGAUAUGAUAGUGCAAACGUCUAAAAAUGCAAUCUUUACAAUCAAUUAUAUUUUUACAGACCAAGCACUCUGAGAAUGAUGUUGUCAUACAGAUGAAUUGCUCUUAAUGAUGUCAUGGUUAUCCAGUUUUUGAUGGCCCAACUUUGUCCAGAUUGUUUAAUCUUGCUUUUCUGGUUGCCUAAGAACCUGAUCAUAAAAGAAAAGCAAAGUGUGAUACUAGCUAGAUGCUAGCUUUACUUUAAAUAUGAGAACCUGAUCCACUAACCUCUGAAUUGUUGCUUGCUUUGUACUAACCAGUUUUCUAG
rnacentral:lncRNA from 1 species